rnacentral:misc_RNA from 1 species
UUUCCGUAGGUGAACCUGCGGAAGGAUCAUUAUUGUAUAACCGAGGUGCGAGGGCUGUCGCUGACCCGAAAGGUCGUGCACGCCCUAGUGCCCUCACACACAUCCAUCUCACCCCUAUGUGCACCACCGCGUGGGUCCCCCUUUGGCUUGUUCGGAGGGGGGCUUACGUUUUCACACAAACUUUGUAUGCAGUGUAGAAUGUAUUUUUUGUUUUUGCGAUCACGCAAUCAAUACAACUUUCAACAACGGAUCUCUUGGCUCUC